ensembl:lncRNA
UAUUGUUUCCACAUUUAACCAGACCAUAGAGAAUGGGUUUGAAAGGAAUCCUGAGGGCACUUCUAUGAUGCUAAAUCAGAGGGCCAGAGAAAUCAGCUGAAGCACUGGAACAGGCUGGUCCAUCCUGCAUCAGGCGCCGUCAUCGUGGAGUUCUUCUGGCAGCAGAGACUGCAGAGAGCUGAGAAAGGAUGAUCACACGUGUGACACAGCAUGGGAUGGAGCACAUUUAGCUGCUGGAUUCCCAAAU